GGAAGAAGAAAUAAGUUUUAGAAUAUUUUUUGAGAAAAAGACCAUUUCCCAAAUGACAUGUUAUAAUUUAUUAGAAACUCCAAAGCUAAUGAAGACUAAUCAUCCCAUUUGGACACCGUUCUUCCCCACACUUUAUUGGCUUCAAGAACAAAGCGUGCACCUAGAGAAACAGUGGAUUUUUGCACUAAAGCGACCAAAGAUUGAAAUCUGUGCUGGAGGAUGGAGGGGGAGCUAAAUCCGGGCAUCCAUCCCCACCCUCUCCGGACUGGAGGAUGGGAGCGAGCAGCUGCAGGUAAUGAUCGUCUUGAGAUGGGAAGCACGAGGGACCAGAGCACGUGGAUCCCCUCCAUCCUGGUGUUAAAGCUGGGGUUUCAGCCUUCCUGGGAGACCCUGGCCAAACCGACCUGAGCGAAGCAACGGGGCUUAGUGGAAAGACCACGGUUUGGGAGUCAGAGGACCUGAGUUCUAAUCCCCGCUCCAUCACUUGUCUGCUGCAUGCCCUUG
rnacentral:lncRNA from 1 species